rnacentral:miRNA from 1 species
UACUGGGUUGGUGCAAAAGUAAUUGUGGUUUUUGCAAUUAAAGGUAAUGGCAGAAAUUGCAACUACUUUUGCACCAACC